UACUCCUACGGGAGGCAGCAGUAGGGAAUCUUCGGCAAUGGACGGAAGUCUGACCGAGCAACGCCGCGUGAGUGAAGAAGGUUUUCGGAUCGUAAAGCUCUGUUGUAAGAGAAGAACGAGUGUGAGAGUGGAAAGUUCACACUGUGACGGUAUCUUACCAGAAAGGGACGGCUAACUACGUGCCAGCAGCCGCGGUAAUACGUAGGUCCCGAGCGUUAUCCGGAUUUAUUGGGCGUAAAGCGAGCGCAGGCGGUUAGAUAAGUCUGAAGUUAAAGGCUGUGGCUUAACCAUAGUACGCUUUGGAAACUGUUUAACUUGAGUGCAAGAGGGGAGAGUGGAAUUCCAUGUGUAGCGGUGAAAUGCGUAGAUAUAUGGAGGAACACCGGUGGCGAAAGCGGCUCUCUGGCUUGUAAUUGACGCUGAGGCUCGAAAGCGUGGGGAGCAAACAGGAUUAGAUACCCUGGUAGUCCACGCCGUAAACGAUGAGUGCUAGGUGUUAGACCCUUUCCGGGGUUUAGUGCCGUAGCUAACGCAUUAAGCACUCCGCCUGGGGAGUACGACCGCAAGGUUGAAACUCAAAUGAAUUGACGGA
rnacentral:rRNA from 1 species